CCUACGGGCGGCAGCAGUGGGGAAUAUUGGACAAUGGGCGAAAGCCUGAUCCAGCCAUGCCGCGUGUGUGAAGAAGGCCUUCGGGUUGUAAAGCACUUUCAGUGGGGAAGAAAGCCUUGGGGCUAAUACCCUCGAGGAAGGACAUCACCCACAGAAGAAGCACCGGCUAACUCCGUGCCAGCGGCCGCGGUAAUACGGAGGGUGCGAGCGUUAAUCGGAAUUACUGGGCGUAAAGCGCGCGUAGGCGGUCUGAUAAGCCGGUUGUGAAAGCCCCGGGCUCAACCUGGGAACGGCAUCCGGAACUGUCAGGCUAGAGUGCAGGAGAGGAAGGUAGAAUUCCCGGUGUAGCGGUGAAAUGCGUAGAGAUCGGGAGGAAUACCAGUGGCGAAGGCGGCCUUCUGGACUGACACUGACGCUGAGGUGCGAAAGCGUGGGUAGCAAACAGGAUUAGAUACCCCUUAGUC
rnacentral:rRNA from 1 species